rnacentral:rRNA from 1 species
AAACCAGCACCUCAAGUGGUCAGGAUGAUUAUUGGGCCUAAAGCAUCCGUAGCCUGCUUUGUAAGUUUUCGGUUAAAUCCAUAUGCUCAACAUAUGGGCUGCCGGGAAUACUGCACAGCUAGGGAGUGGGAGAGGUAGACGGUACUCGGUAGGAAGGGGUAAAAUCCUUUGAUCUCUCGAUGACCACCUGUGGCGAAGGCGGUCUACCAGAACACGUCCGACGGUGAGGGAUGAAAGCUGGGGGAGCAAACCGGAUUAGAAACCCCAGUAGUCC